ACUUGUUUCGUAUGACAAGCAAUGCUUGCCACACUCAUUAGGUGAAUUUAAAAUCACCUGAUGAGUGUGGCAAGCAUUGCUUGUCAUACGA